rnacentral:rRNA from 1 species
UACGUAGGUGGCAAGCGUUGUCCGGAUUUAUUGGGUUUAAAGGGUGCGUAGGCGGCCCUGUAAGUCAGUGCUGAAAUACCCCGGCUUAACCGGGGGGGUGGCAUUGAUACUGCAGGGCUUGAGUAAAGUCGAGGUAGGCGGAAUUGACGGUGUAGCGGUGAAAUGUGUAGAGAUCGGGAGGAACACCGGUGGCGAAGGCGGGUCUCUGGGCAAUUCCUGACGCUGAGGCGCGAAAGCGUGGGGAGCAAACGGG